rnacentral:rRNA from 1 species
GCGGAGGAAAAGAAAAUAACAAUGAUUCCCCUAGUAACGGCGAGUGAAGAGGGAAAAGCUCAAAGUUGGAACCUAGUAGGCAUAGCUUACUCGGAUUGUAAACUAAAGUUUUUGAGUCGUUUAGUCAACCAAGUUAAUAAGUCCUCUGGAAAGGGGCAACAUAGAGGGUGAAAUUCCCGUCUUUGGCUUGAGAUUGAUUAGGCAUUUGUCUUGGAAACGAAGAGUCAGGUUGUUUGGGAAUGCAGCCUAAAAUGGGAGGUAAAUCUCUCCUAAAGCUAAAUAUUGACGAAAGACCGAUAGCGAACAAGUACCGUGAGGGAAAGAUGAAAAGCACUUUGAAAAGAGGGUCAAAAAGUACGUGAAAUUGCUGAAAGGGAACCGUAUGAAAUCAGAUCUACUGGUAGGUAAUCAAUCUUUCUUUCGAGAAGGAUGCACUUGCCUGCUAUUGUAUGCCAGCGACAUUUUGAUUGGAAGGAAAAAAAUAGAGGAAAUGUAGCUUAGACUUCGGUUUAGGUGUUAUAGACCUUUAUAAAAUACUUUCGAUUGGAAUGAGGAACGCAGCAAACCGUAAGGCGAAGAUACUAGGCGCUUGGGGGGAAUCAUUAGAGAAUUUCUGCUUCGGGUGGUGCUUUGAUGAUUUCUUUCAACUCGUUUGGUUUUCUUUUAAUUUGCUUAGGUUGUUGGCUUAAUGAUUUUAUAUGAC